rnacentral:ncRNA from 1 species
CUUAUAAAGAAAGGUGGAGGGAAAAGGCCCUUUGAAACCUUAGCAACCGUUCCAAUUUAUUGGAGAAAGGUGCUAAAUCCUUCUCUAGAAAUAGGGAAAUAUAAG